rnacentral:sRNA from 1 species
GGAGUACUCAUUUGAUUUUUCUUCAAAGUAAGCUUCUUUCUGAUCAACAGAGUAGUCUUCUUCUUCUGAACCUGGCUCCUUUGACCAAUCCUCAAAUUCAAAAUUGGGGUAGCCUUUAAUCAUUUCUUAAAGUUCCAAGAUUGCAUGGUUCAGUCCUUCCAUUUUGUAAGUUAGCUCCCCAAUGGUAUCCUCUUGAGCUUUGUAUUCUAUCCUGAGUUCUAGAAGUUAUUCAGUAACAUAAUCAAGUGUCAAGUGUUCUUCUUCAGCAGAGGGGUAGGUGGGCUGUUUAGGCACUCCCGGAGAAUAAGUUAGAAUAGGAGUUUCCUCCUCACUCAACAACUUGCUCUCUAGGCUUCUUUCCUCUAAGUGAACUCCUUUCAGAUCUUCUGGUGCAAACCAUGCUGUUGUGAAAUUUUCAUCUUCCUUGACAGCUAGUGCAGUUUCCAUCUUCUCUUCGUCAAUACCAUCUGAAAUCUUUUUAACUCUUUUUUCAAACAGCCAAAGUUGAUCCUUCAGCUUCAUCACCCUUGAAAAUAAUCCCUCUAUGACUCUGCUUUACCAUUCAAAAUUUUUUUCUCAUCUCAUACCAGUCAUCUUCUGUAGGAUCUUCAAUCUAAAAUAGUGUUUCUGUUGCUCUCUUCUUGUGGUCAAAAGUUCUCUUCAGCUUGCUAAGUUGAGAAGUAUAAUUGACUUUUGGUGAGGUUUCAGCUUUUGUUUCUUCAUCAACAUACAUAUCUUGAAUUCCAAAACUCUGACCUCCUGUUGUUGAUUUCUUUGAAGCUUCUCUGAUGUCAAACUUCAUCUUGAUGCCUUUUUCAAGGUUCAGAUUAAUUUUUCCAUUCCUGACAUCUAUGACUGCUCCAGCUGAAGCUAAGAAUGGUCUGCCUAGGAUCAGGGGAUCCUUGCCUUCUUCAUCCACGUCUAAUACCACAAAGUCUGUAGGUAUCUCAACAUUUCCAAUCUUGACAGGCAGAUUUUCUAUUAGACCAUGAGGGUGUGCAACAGAACCAUCAGCUAAGUUGCAGAA